UACGGAGGAUGCGAGCGUUAUCCGGAUUUAUUGGGUUUAAAGGGUGCGUAGGCGGUUUAUUAAGUUAGUGGUUAAAUAUUUGAGCUAAACUCAAUUGUGCCAUUAAUACUGGUAAACUGGAGUACAGACGAGGUAGGCGGAAUAAGUUAAGUAGCGGUGAAAUGCAUAGAUAUAACUUAGAACUCCGAUAGCGAAGGCAGCUUACCAGACUGUAACUGACGCUGAUGCACGAUAGCGUGGGUAGCGAACAGG
rnacentral:rRNA from 1 species